rnacentral:rRNA from 1 species
GAUGAACGCUGGCGGCGUGCCUAAUACAUGCAAGUCGAGCGAACGGACGAGAAGCUUGCUUCUCUGAUGUUAGCGGCGGACGGGUGAGUAACACGUGGAUAACCUACCUAUAAGACUGGGAUAACUUCGGGAAACCGGAGCUAAUACCGGAUGAUAUUUUGAACCGCAUGGUUCAAAAGUGAAAGACGGUCUUGCUGUCACUUAUAGAUGGAUCCGCGCUGCAUUAGCUAGUUGGUAAGGUAACGGCUUACCAAGGCAACGAUGCAUAGCCGACCUGAGAGGGUGGUCGGCCACACUGGAACUGAGACACGGUCCAGACUCCUACGGGAGGCAGCAGUAGGGAAUCUUCCGCAAUGGGCAAAAGCCUGACGGAGCAACGCCGCGUGAGUGAUGAAGGUCUUCGGAUCGUAAAACUCUGUUAUUAGGGAAGAACAUAUGUGUAAGUAACUGUGCACAUCUUGACGGUACCUAAUCAGAAAGCCACGGCUAACUACGUG